ensembl:lncRNA
AGUGUUUCGGGAGAAGCCCAUCCUAUCGCAGAGAGCGACAACAGCCUCGGUAUUAUGAUUUAUGGAGUGCUGGUGUCACUCUAACAAGCUGAAGGACACACAAUAUCAUCUCCAACAUCAUUAAAAUUCAGAAGCCUCUAGAACUAACUCAUCAACCACCGCGCAUUGUCACACGCUAUGGAGCUGAGCUGUUCCCCACUUGGAAAAUGCCUUCCGGACAGUCGUCAUCCUGAAUCAUCUGAUUAAAAGGAUACAAAGAGAAGGAACGGAAAGGAAAGGGGGAAAGAGAGAGAAGCCAAACUCCACGGACAUUCUGGAAAUGAGGGACCUGCAACGGUUUCAUUCCCAUAGCAGAGCGGUGCUAUUAGUUCCUAUCACCUACAACAAAAUGAGUUCUCUGCCUUCUUCUGUUGCUGGAAUACGGGAGGCCCAAAAAGCAGGAGGUCUCCUGGAAAUAGCUGCUCCGUUCAAACCGCAGCUAUGAGGCCGCGACACGAUAAGCAAAAGCCGUGCAUUACUUUAGCUCAUGCUGUACCACGAAACUUCUAUUUUAUUGAAGUUCGGCUGUGCGCUCUGCCUCAGACCGCAGCUGUCCCUCCAUCCCAGGCGCCCGUUCUCCCUCCUUUUCCGCAGAAAAAGGCCAAACCCGCGCUCCCGGCACCGCGGUCCCACAAAGGCUAAAGCAGAACGGAUGCGGAUCCGGCCGCCUCCCUGAGCCCCGGCCCGGCCCCGCGCCCCCCGGCCCGGCCCCGGCUGCGCCCCGGAGCGCGCGGUUCCGCGGUGCGUGCCUACAGUUCCCGUAAGGCAGCUGUUAUUUCUUGCACUGGUUUGUGGGAGCUCCCGGCCCAGAGCAAUUUGCCGACCAUCAAACCACCUCGGCAGCGGCACCAGGAGCCCUGCCGGGCCUGGAAAUCCCACUUGUCUGCAAGUGCACAACGUACACAGCAAAUCUCCAUAAAGCGCGGUGCCACAGUUGAAUGCAAACACUCCUCAGGUCCUGCUGUGACUUGGCACACCCUGUUGGACAGCUGGAAACUGAGAGGAAGGGAGCUGCUGCCAAUAACGCCGUACAGGGGAUUUCAGUGCGAAGUUUCCUGGAAACAGGCGGCGACUGGCAUUAUUACUUUGCUGGAGGAUACUGGUGUGGUAUAUCGGAUAUAUACAACCGUCCGUGGUUGCCCUUGUUAUACAUAAGACGUGAUAUAUGGUAAAGCAGGGUGCCUUUCUGGGAUGAUCUGUGUGCUUGGGCUGGGAAUUAAGCCUCGAACAAAACAAACGGAACUCAUCCCAGCCGUACGUGUGGCCUCCUGUAAUUCUGGAAAGCAGAUAUUGCCCUAAGUGACAUUUUAUGACGCGUAUCGAAAAGAUCUAGCUUGCUAAGGGCCGUGAUUGUGUAUCUCACACCUCUGCAGCUGCGGUUUACUGUAGAUAGAUUGCAUACAGUAACUCUUUCAUUUUCCUUGGAGCCUCUCGCAAUGAAGUGCUACUGGCGAUCAUUAAAACAAGAUUGUGCUUUUUAUGUAGCUUGAAUACAUAAAUGAUACUUAUCUGCAUUCCAGGGUAAGGAAUGCUUGAAAGACAAUUCACGGAUAUAAAUGGAACGGCUAAAUUAGGGCUUGGCACACUCUGUCAUAAUUAGCCUAAUGUGAUAUAAUUUUUAAUGUAAGGAAGGUACGUUUUCCAACCCUGCCUAAAAGCCCGGCGCUCUCUAUGUGCUGUAAUAAAUUAAUGCAAUAAAAACAGGUACGCUU